UUGAAGAGCUUCACCAAGGAGCUCACGGCCAUGAGGGAAGAAAAGCCAAGAUCAUUUCAAGCCUUCCAAAAAUUAUUUCUUUGGUGUAAACCCACUAUAUUGAAGCCCCUAAGUAGCGUGGAAGUAUUGUUUGGGUCAUCCAACCAUCCGUUGUGUCAAUUAGCAAACCCUAACUAUUUGGUGGAUUGAAGAAGAAAGACCUUGGGGAGCCCGAGGCGUAGAUUGGGAUUUACUUUAGAUUGGCUAUCUCGGAGUGCGUACGAGGUAUGUAAAGCAACCUUCUUUUCUUGGCAUGCCUUAGUUUUACAUAGGCUAGAUUAGAGCCUUAAGGAAAUUCCAAAUCCGAAAUCCGAGCAUGAUAUGAUCUAUAUAUAUUCCUUGGCACUCUUAUGUAUGAUUUGAUGAAAGAUGAACCAUUAUGUUUUUGAAAGAAGUGAUUUCCAAACUUUGUACAAAAAGGUUUCACUUUAAUGAAUUUCGUAAUUUUUGAAUGUCAUAUCUUUCGCAUAAAGGCUCGGAUUGUUCCAACAUUUUCAUAAGAGUUUGCAUGAUGUAUAAUGAGUAUGUUUUCCAUAAGCGGGCCUGAUUCGGGUCGAUACCCGUCCGUGGGUCCCGCGACCUUCCUUUAUGUAAUUCGGAGAAUCUUUGAAAGAAUUUGGUAUGACCAUUAUUCCGAUUUCAAAUAUGAUCAUUUUACUUAUGUUUGAAGUUAUGAUAAUGAUUUUAUGCAUAUGACUACUCACGACUCUAUUCGUGCAUUCUGUUAUUCCUUUCGCCGAGUCCCGGGCCGGUUCUGUUAUCGUGCGCAUUUUGAUAUACUCCGGAGUUAUGCUGUGUUUAUGGUUCACCGAGCUACUCGCAAAAGAGGGUCGGGUUCCACCUAUAUAUGGCGUUAUGUUGUGAUGUGAUAUGUGACGGGGAUACGGAGAUCUGAGAUUUUCUGGUGUUAUGCUGUGUUAUGGCGCCAUCGACGGGUGCAGACGCACAGUUUGGUGAUCCACCGGUUUAGGACACCCCUUUUUGCUGUUGGAGUGCUCUUCUCCUUUCAGAGCAUAUCUUUUGUGUCACAACCCAACUCCGUAGGCCGUGACUAGUGCCCGAUUUGGACACUCAUAUUGCCUGUUAACUGUAAUCAUUUAUAACUAGCAUGUCAUGAACUUAUUUGUUUAGAAAAGACGGGACGUUAUUCUAAAGCUGUCACAAUUCUGUAUGUCAUAUGCACAUGUCUUCUGAGAAGUUAAAACUUUUCAACAACAACAUAUUACUACUAUAUAUAAACACCAAUGUUGUUUUUUAGUCGUCCUCACAGGGGUGGGACAGUAAUUUUGAUUGAUUUUUUUAAUGCAAUGAAGUGGCUACACAUGGCUGCUCAAGUUGUCUUAUAGCAGUGGGUCUCAAUAGCUAAUUUGU